UACAGAGGGUGCGAGCGUUGUUCGGAAUUAUUGGGCGUAAAGGGCGCGUAGGCGGCGCCACAAGUCACUUGUGAAAACUCUGGGCUCAACUCAGAGCCUGCAAGCGAAACUGUGGUGCUGGAGUAUGGGAGAGGUGCGUGGAAUUCCCGGUGUAGCGGUGAAAUUCGUAGAUAUUGGGAAGAACACCGGUGGCGAAGGCGGCGACCUGGUCCUUGACUGACGCUGAGGCGCGAAAGCGUGGGGAGCAAACAGG
rnacentral:rRNA from 1 species